GAUGAACGCUGGCGGCGUGCCUAAUACAUGCAAGUCGAGCGAAAGGACGAGUAGCUUGCUGUACUGAUGUUUACGGCGUACGGAAGUGUCCCAAGUGGAUAGCAUACCUAUAGGACUGGGAUAACUUCGGGAGACAGUAUGUAAUACUGGCUAAUAUUUUGAACCACAUGGUUCAUCGCUGAAAGACAGUUUUGCUGUCCCUUAUCUAUUUGUCCGCGCUGCAUUAGCUAGUUGGGAAGGUAACGAGUUACCAAGGCAACGAUGCGUAGCAGACAGGAGAGGGUGAGCGGCCACCCUGGAACGGAGACACGGUCCAGACGCCUACGGGAGGCAGCAGUAGGGAAUCUUCCGCAAUGGGCGAAAGCCUGACGGAGCAACGCCGAGUGAGUGAUGAAGGUCUUCGGAGCGUAAAACUCUGUUAUUAGGGAAGAACAGAUGUGUAAGUAACUAUGCACAUAUUGACGGUACCUAAUCAGAAAGCCACGGCUAACUACGUG
rnacentral:rRNA from 1 species